rnacentral:lncRNA from 1 species
ACUGCAGUGAGGACAAAUGUGAAGUCAUGGAAAUGGCUCUGCACAUCUUUCCUUCUCCAGGAGACUAUGUAAACCUAUAGCGAAGCCACCCUGGCGAGAUCAGAGAUCAAGACUCAAAGAUGCCAUCCUGAGACUUCUUUGAAACCCUGGGGUCUCUUUCUGUUUAGCUUGAUUGGGAAAUUUGUAAUUCUCGGAUUAUCACUAGACUCACUAUGUGAAGGAUGCUCAGGCUGAAAUGAAAGCUAUGAAGGCACUGCUCUGGAGACAAAGAAGAUAGAUCUGGGCACCCAGCCCACGUAGGAGGGAGUGUUUCCUCCCUGCCCUUUGCAGAAUUUCUCCUAGUGUUUUCUUCAGGGAAGACAUGCUUGAAAGGCACAUCCAAAGACAUUGUUUCACAAUAGAUUCUUAAUUAUGGAAAAACACAAAAAUUGUGUGUUUAUGUGGUGUUGAGGUAUGAAAGCAGCAUCUUAUACACUGGGACUAGGUUUAAAAGUGGCUGUGAGAUGUCACACGAGUCCUGGGAACUGAGCCCUGGUUUUCUGGAAGAGCUAAGACAUCUCUCCGGCCACCUACUUGGAAUCCUGAAUGCUAGCUACCUAUGCCAUUUGCUGCUGUGUAAUACUAAAAGGCUGUACAGAGAGAAUGAGCUUCCUAAUAAACUGA